AGUCCAUGGUGUGGACAUUUCAGUAGCAAACCCCCAAAACCUUUUCCACGGUUUAUAUAAUGAUUCAUCAUCUUAUUGGCUAAAACUAGUAAUGUCUAUUCUAAACUU